rnacentral:rRNA from 1 species
UACAGGGGGUGCAAGCGUUGUUCGGAAUUACUGGGCGUAAAGCGCGGGCAGGUGGCCUUUUAAGUCCUUUGUGAAAUCCCGGAGCUCAACUCCGGAUGUGCAUAGGAUACUGGAUGGCUUGGAUUCGGGAGAGGAAUGCGGAAUUCCAGGUGUAGCGGUGAAAUGCGUAGAUAUCUGGAGGAACACCGGUGGCGAAGGCGGCAUUCUGGACCGAUAUUGACGCUGAGGAGCGAAAGCCAGGGGAGCAAACGGG